GACGAACGCUGGCGGCGUGCCUAAUACAUGCAAGUCGAACGAACCGCGACUGAGUGCUUGCACUUGGUCAAGGUGAGUGGCGAACGGGUGAGUAACACGUGGGUAACCUACCUCAUAGUGGGGGAUAACAGUCGGAAACGACUGCUAAUACCGCAUAGGACAUGGGAUCACAUGAUUCCGUGAGGAGAGGUGGCGCAAGCUAUCGCUAAGAGAUGGACCCGCGGUGCAUUAGCUAGUUGGUAGGGUAACGGCCUACCAAGGCGAUGAUGCAUAGCCGACCUGAGAGGGUGAUCGGCCGCAUUGGGACUGAGACACGGCCCAAA
rnacentral:rRNA from 1 species